GAAACCCCGUACUUUCUGAAGGGACCCAAGAUGGCUGAACGCACACAGGGGGGGUAGUUGGCAAUCAUCUAUGCAAUAUGAUGGAAAUUAAUGUUAAAUAACGUUAGUAUGUGAAACAUAAUAUUGAUGGAGUUAUACGAUUACAGCUGGUUGAUCUGCCUAAUUUUGGAGUGCAAGAAUACCUCGUAAGGAGAGAGACUGGUCUCUCGGCGGCCCAGAGCCAGAACAUGGCGGAACACUUUGGAAAGAAAUAGCUAGCAGCUAACGGUAUUAUCAAGAGACACCUAGCUAGCUGAUCCGAAACGUCGGGGGCUACAUUGGACAACACUGGUUGUAAACGGGCAAUAAUAUAACGGGUGCAUAGUAUUUGUCGCUAUUUAACAAUUUACUGUUUUCAUAAGAUGUUUAAUGUAGCAAGGCAGUUAGCUAACUUGCUAGGCAGCUAGCUAGCCCACUACGGUCGUUACAGUAGCUAGCAUACAACAAUCAUCUCACUGUAGCUGAAGUCUGAGGAUAUAGCCAGGUGAUCUUACCUGCAUGUUUACCAUUGAAACAUACUCGUUAUACUUAUUCGUUAGUCUGAUUGUACUGUUUCUGUAUGUAUGUUAAACAGCGCGAGUUUAUCAUGCGUCGUGCAUUUCUAGUCUGCGCAAGACAUGUUUUGCGGAAGCCAGCUAAGGUUAGUUAUCUGUAGGAAGUUACAAUUAGCAAACAGCCAAACCUAAGUAAUCUAGCUACUGUUUGAAAGCCAAAGUGGAUCUAGUUAUCCUCAUACAAGGCAGUCGGUAGAUUUGUGGCGCAAGGUAAAUACAUCGGCGGGGGAAAGCGGUCACGACCACCUGCCAAGAUGACGGAUACCCGCCGCCGAGUCAAAGUUUAUACUCUCAACGAGGACAGACAAUGGGAUGACCGCGGUACGGGACACGUCUCCUCCGGUUAUGUGGAGAGGCUGAAAGGCAUGUCUCUGCUGGUGCGAGCGGAGAGCGAUGGUGAGUCAGGUUCCCUACUGCUCGAGUCGAAAAUCAACCCAAACACAGCCUACCAGAAACAACAGGACACGUUGAUAGUGUGGUCGGAGGCUGAGAACUAUGACCUGGCCCUCAGCUUCCAGGAGAAGGCCGGCUGCGAUGAGAUCUGGGAGAAAAUCUGUCAGGUCCAGGGCAAGGACCCGUCUGUGGACAUCACACAAGAGCUGGUGGACGAGUCGGAGGAGGAGCGCUUUGACGACAUGUCCUCCCCAGGCCUCGAACUCCCUCCCUGCGAGCUGGGCCACCUUGAGGAGCUCGCCGAGCUCGUGGCCUCCUCCCUCCCCUCCCCCUUACGCCGUGAGAAACUAGCCCUGGCCGUGGAGAACGAGGGCUACAUCCGCAAGCUCCUGGAGCUCUUCCGCCAGUGCGAGGACUUGGAAAACGCAGACGGCCUCCACCACCUAUACGAGAUCGUAAAGGGCAUCUUCCUGCUAAACCGCACGGCCCUCUUCGAGGUCAUGUUCUCUGAGGAGUGCAUCAUGGAUGUGAUUGGCUGCCUGGAGCAUGACCCUGCGCUGGGCGGGUUGCCGCGGCGCCACCGCGACUUCCUCACCAAGACGGCACGCUUCAAGGAGGUCAUCCCUAUUGGUGACCCUGAGCUGCGGGCCAAGAUCCACCAGACGUACCGCGUGCAGUACAUCCAGGACAUGGUGCUACCCACUCCGUCGGUGUUCGAGGAGAACAUGCUCUCCACAUUGCACUCGUUCAUCUUCUUCAACAAGGUGGAGAUUGUGGGUAUGCUGCAGGACGACGAGAAGUUCCUGACAGACCUCUUUGCACAGCUCACAGAUGAGGCUACCGAUGAUGACAAGAGACACGAACUGGUAAACUUCCUAAAGGAGUUCUGCGCCUUCUCACAAACAUUACAACCUCAAAACAGAGACACCUUCUUCAAGACUCUGUCAAACAUGGGAAUUCUCCCUGCACUAGAGGUUAUACUGGGUAUGGAUGAUGUGCAGGUGCGUGGCGCAGCCACCGAUAUCUUCUCCUAUCUGGUGGAGUACAACCCCUCUAUGGUACGAGAGUUUAUCAUGCAGGAGUCCCAACAGAAUGACGACGACAUCCUGCUGAUCAACCUGAUCAUCGAGCACAUGAUCUGUGACUCGGACCCGGAGCUGGGCGGCGCUGUGCAGCUGAUGGGUCUGCUACGCACCCUGGUGGAUCCUGAAAACAUGAUGGCCACCGCCAACAAAACGGAGAAGACAGAGUUCCUGAGCUUCUUCUACAAGCACUGCAUGCACGUCCUCUCUGCUCCUCUACUGGCCAACACCACGGAUGACAAACCCAGUAGAGAUGACUUCCAGACGUCUCAGCUGCUGGCGCUGAUCCUGGAGCUGUUGACGUUCUGCGUAGAGCACCACACCUACCACAUCAAGAACUACAUCAUCAACAAGGACAUCCUCCGUAGGGUCCUGGUGCUCACUGCCUCACAGCACGCCUUCCUGGCCCUCUGCGCACUGCGCUUCAUGCGGCGGAUCAUCGGGCUGAAGGACGAGUUCUACAACCGCUACAUCAUGAAGAAUUUCCUGUUUGAGCCGGUGGUCAAGGCCUUCCUCAACAACGGCGCCCGCUACAACCUCAUGAAUUCAGCCAUCAUCGAGAUGUUUGAAUAUGUCCGCGUGGAGGAUGUGAAGUCCCUGACGGCCCACAUAGUGGAGAACUACUGGAAGGCCCUGGAGGAUGUGGACUAUGUGCAGACCUUUAAAGGACUGAAGCUGCGCUAUGAACAGCAGAGGGAGAGGCAGGACAACCCCAAACUGGACAGCAUGCGGUCGAUCCUGAGGAACCACCGGUUCCGGCGUGAUGCGAGAACGCUGGACGAUGAUGAGGAGAUGUGGUUCAAUGCGGACGAGGAAGAGCUUGAGGACUGCGAGGCAGUGGUGCCCCCCUCGGACAACAAGACCACCAAAGCGAGCGGUGGCGUCGGCGAGAACGAAGACCUCAUGGACCCCAUCAGCAAGUUCAUGGAAAGGAAGAAACUGAAAGACUCCGAUGACAAGGAAGUCCUGGGCAAGUCCAGUAGUCUGUCAGGCCGCCAGAGCCCCAGCUUCAAACUCUCCUUCUCCGGCUCCACCACCAAGACCAGCCUGUCCAGCCCGCCCGCAUCGCUGCGCCCCGGCUCGCCUGGGUCAGGGGCCAAGGGCUCACCCCCGACAGCAGCCACAGUCACCACAAAGGACAGACUGCAAUCCACACUUUGGUAAGGUCCCUCAGUCGAGCAGUGAAUUUCAAACACCGAUUCAACCACAAAGAUCAGGUGGGGCUGGUGGACUACCCCGAUGACGACGAAGAAGACGAAGAGGAUGUGGGUGGCGAGAGUAAAGAAGAGACUCCGCCCUUGUCCAAGAAGUCCAAGCUUAGCUCCUCAUAAAAAUAAAUUGUUAAUGACUACUUUCCACCGAUCCCACGAUAGACUCAACACAGGAUGGAACAAAAACUGCUCAAACUGUUAAAACAAAUAAAUGAACCCCCCUUGGUUUUCAAGGAGCAGACUAUGAAUGGAAACGCGUCUCCUCGAACUAAUCCUAAUACACAAGUGCCAAUCGGGAGGCCGCAGAGCUAGGAACGAACGAACGAAUGAACGGAAAAGAGAAAGGCGGAGAGAGAAGACUAUUACCAAUAAUGGCGUCAGGUAAAAGGGGCAGACUGACGAUUUGUAAUCUAACAAAGCUAAAAUACAGCGGGAAAUGACCACAUAAAUACACGCAUUCAUCCACACACACACACACACACAGACUUAAACCCCAAAGAGCUUGCGUGCUCGGACCAUGCCCCACCCCAAACACCCCACUCAGGGAAGGACAUCACAGCGACCCCCCCCCAAUGGGGCCGACCAAUCAAGAUGCAGAACCACUCACCCACUGCGCUGACUUCUCCACCCGCUUCUGUUAAUUUCUCUCUUCUCCCUCCUCUACUCCCCCCCCCUUCUCAUUUUUUUGUUUGUUUUUACGUUUUUUUUUAAAAGAUGUUAGUUUCUAGGACCAGACGGGAGACUGCAGACCGACGGGGCGAAAUCGCUGUCAUUGUUUUUCAUUUUGAUGAUGUCAUCAGUGCUGUCGUCGUCGCUCAGCGGAAGUUCUUCCUCUCAAUAGAAAAAAGCCAGCUGUAAAAAUGUUUUUCCUUUUAAUCACUCUCUCGCUCUUCUGUUUUUGUAAAUGACAACAAAGAGACCUGCCUUUACAUGUUCAGGAACUUUUCAGUCUCACUUGAACAGGUUUUUAAAGACCCCAGUAGGUUGAGCUAGUUUUACCCUUUUUUGCCCUUUGAAACUGCAGAUCUUUUGGGAAAAUAAUUUGUAAUCCUGUCUUAUUAAAGAUUGAGUGGAAUUCUAGAUGUGAACAAUUUUUUCUUAUCUUCACAUUUUUUUUGGUUUUCUUUUACAUUGUUGUUCAGAAAUAUUUGGACCAUUAAAAAUGAUCUUUGCUGUA